AUGACGUCAAGUCCUCAUGGCCUUUAUGCCCAGGGCUACACACGUGCUACAAUGGGUGGUACAAAGAGGCAGCCAGCUCGCGAGAGUGAGCAAAAUCUCAAAAAGCCAUCCUCAGUUCGGAUUGAAGUCUGCAACUCGACUUCAUGAAGUUGGAAUCGCUAGUAAUCGCGGAUCAGCAUGCCGCGGUGAAUACCGGUUCCCGGGCCUU
rnacentral:rRNA from 1 species